rnacentral:lncRNA from 1 species
GUAAUCGACACUUUUCUUCUUGGAACCUUUUGAGUUUUAAUGAGGCAAUUUCUUUGGUAAUCAUUUCUGCAAUUCCUUUUUGUGUUGGUGUUAAACCAUCUGAAUAAAAUAAAAAAUAAAAUAAAAAAACACUGACGGUAAGAAGACAAAGACGAGAACUACUGAGGAGAAAGACCGCAAUGGAGGAAGGAAUCAAAAAAAGAGGAAAGCAAGGACGGUAAUAUUGGGAAAGAACUACCGGUCAAGAAAAGGAAGAUAAAAGAAAGGAAUUCUGGAGAAGAAAAGUGAAGGUAAGAAACAGUUUGGUAGAUUCAUGGGAGAGCAGUUUAUUAUAUUCUAUCAUGGAAAGUGGAGGGUUACCUUCAGGAAACCGCUAAGCUUAUUUAAAUAUUACUAAAGUAAACUCAUCCUUUCGAUUUAUUUUAAAAACGUCUUCAUGAUCUAAUGUUUUUACCAGAACAAAAAUAGUUUUUAACCACUUCAGGACAUAGCAGUAGAUUCUAGUACAUUUUCUGAGUACAGAAUGACCCCCUUAGCAUGUAUCUUUGUCAAUUUUUGUGAAAAUACUGAUCUAAAUUAAUAACCUACCCAAUACAGUUUAAAAAAAAAUGAAUAUUGGUGUGGGUCUGUUUGUGUGGCUAAGUGCAUGUGAUUUUAUUAAAAGACACGAAGGCUCAUGUUAUGCGUUAUCUAUCUCUUUCUUUAUUCCUCAGCAGCAAAGAAAGGAUAUUAAGAUAUUCAUAGAAAGAAAAAAAAAAAAAUACCCUCAGAGGGUUAAGUCCACAUUCCAUAUACUCCCAUGUGACCCUAAGCCACUCCUUUUUCUUUGCUGCUGCCUCAGCUAAGUACCAUCAAAUUGUAGUCUGUGGAUUUUUUCUGUUUUGUGUUAUUAAUUACCUGUUAUUUAAAUUUUUUUCUGUUAAUAUAACAUUAUCUGUGUUUCACAGCAAACCUUUCCCUCUCUUCUCUUUGGGUAGUUCAUUACCCGUUUUCCCCCCAGUGCUAGGCGACCCCGACCUUCCAGGGUCUCCCGCUGGCCUCAGGGCACAUCUCCCUGUCUGCCCGCCGGUUUGCGUCCUAAACCCCGCCGGUGCAGCCCGCGCAUGUGCAGUUCACGGUUGCGCAUCGCGGCGCCCAUCUUACGUGUGGCAAAGUUUUGCCGCUUUUUUUUUCUCCCAUCGUGCCGCUCGUUUGAGGGGGUGUGCGAGCUGAUUGGAUGCCUGUGUUGCUGGGCAGCUUACCGGUGCUACUCUGAGGCUAUUCCUGAGGGAACACUCGGUAAGCUAGCCCAUUAAACCUGUGUUGCUUUGUGUAUUUUUGUGCCUGACAGUCCCUGCUUUUAGCCCAGCCCUCCUUCUCUAACAUGAUCCUUUCCUAUAGUUCAACCCCAGUGUGCAGAGUGCUAUCUGCCCUUCAUAUUGUCACUAUGCAGACCCCCUACUGAUUUGGAGAUUAAUACUCCUAACACCUCUGGGAAUACCAAUAGGUAGCGCCUAUCCCCUAUUUCAAAUAGACACCCAACCCACCAAGGGGCAGAGGAAGCGUCACUAGAGCAGAUAAACUUGGAGGAGUUUCACUCGCUCUUAGACGCCACCAUGCCCAAACUGGUCAUGCAGGCCAUUUAUAAUGCAAUGGGAGCUAUGUCGGACAAUUUGUCCCACUCCAUAUCGAAUGCUAUCACAGCAUCUAACCAAGCUUCUGGGUUAACACUCCUUAAGGCCUCUGAUGACAAGCCAGUGGUCCCUAGCGGCUGUAAAGCUACAACAACACCUCCAAAAUUGUAAAUACGGAUAGGCUACGUCCGGUCACCAUUGAUGACGUGGUGCCCCCAUGUAAAAGCAGUGCGGACAUGGAAAAGCGCAAAAUCCCUAUCUGAUUCUUCUGACUCUGAUUCGGAUUCUGAGGAGGUUUCUGGCGAGUCCGAUGUGAUCGGCUCUAUUGAAUUGGAGAAUUCGUCUCCUGACCGCAGUUUAUCUGCAUGACCAGUACUUACUAUUUAAGAAAUGGUGGACAAUUCAGCUUUCCUCGACCCACAAGGGGAACCCCUGUUUGACACUGAUGCCCUCCAGAACCCAAGGUCAGCUGAGUGGCACCCCACUGACCACGUAACCAAGUACAUUGCUGCUAGGAUUAGAUUAGCCAUGAGGAAUAAACUUAGGGUGGAAUGCCCACGUCCUACGGUCACCGACAUGGCCUGUGUUACACCGGAUGUAGACCCUAAGGACCACAGGCAAAAGGACUCCUAUUCGGGGACAAUUUUGUUAAAGAACUGGACAACUAUGUCAGUACCUUCACAGCACUGGACAAGGCACAAUCAAACAUGAAGAGAGUGUUCUCUCUGAAGGUUUUUGGUUGGACCGGCAGACAUUGGGGCCAUCUGCCCGAAUGCUCUUCCCGGGGUUUCUACCGGGGAUACCGAGGCUCCACUACGAGUAGAUUCCAGACUACAGAGAUCAACCACCUACGCCCUUCUUCCCGGUCAGGGGCAGACCUUGGCAAUCCCGAGGGACCAGGGGAACCUCCUAUGGCCGACUGCCUUAUGGUGAGUCUUUUGCCAGCCCAUCUUCCUUCUAUGGUUCCAAUUUUUCGAUGCGUGGCACAUGUUGACCUCAGUCGUUUAGGUCCUAAACACCAUUCUAGGUUACCAAACCACCGUGCCACACAGGAUAGUUUUUUCCCCACACGACCAGGGUCUAGUGUCAGAGGAAAUUUGCACGCUAAAGGCAAAGGGGGCAAUUUGCAAAGUGCCAAUUUCCACCCCAGAAUUUCUGAGCAACCUCUUUUUGGUACCCAAGAAGGGUGGUGGUGUGAGACCGGUUAUCAAUCUUCGCCCCCUCAACGCAUUCGUCCGGUACCACCAUUUCAAAAUGGAGGGAAUUCUCUGCCUUCGAGACCUACUCAUGUUGGAGGAUUGAAUGGUCAAACUCGACCUGCAGGACGUUUUUCUCACAAUCCCGAUUGCCGAGGACUGCCAACGCGUCCUUCAAUUUCAAUGGGACAAGACUAUGUAGCGUUUCCAGUGUCUUCCCUUUGGCCUCUCUUCAGCUCCAUGGUGCUUCACCAAGCUGCCGAAACCAGUGGUCGCCCUUCUGCGCAGCAGAGGUGUUCGUAUGAUAAUUUACCUGGACGAUAUGCUAAUCAUAGCCCACAAUGCCACCUACUUUGUCAAAACCUCUCUUGGGCGCUGUCCCUCCUUCAAAAUUUAGGAUUUCUGAUCAAUUGGGAAAAGUCAGUGCUCAACCCAAACCAUGGAGUUUCUAGGAUUCAACAUCAAUGCGGUACAAGGGACAUUCCGUCUACCACCCACAGAGGUCCAAUUCAUCAAGAAAGAAAUCCGCCGAACAUUGACACGUCCGGUUUUGACCUUAAGACAACUCGCCAGGAUGAUCGGUCUCCUCAUGGCCUCCAUCCAGGCGAUUUUCUCAGGGCCCUUAAAUGUCUAAAGGCCACGCACUUACGCUUGGGUCAAUCUUACUCUGAUUCUGUUCCACUCAAUUGCACGGCCAAGGAAGAACUCGCCUGGUGGCUGCAACACAUGCAAGCGUGGAACGGCAGAGCAAUCUCCGGGAACGGUGCGGAUUUCGUCAUAGAAUCCGAUGCUAGUACACUAGGUUGGGGAGCGCAUUGUGGUCCUAUCUCCACAGGAGGAAAAUGGUACCAAACAGAAAUAGAGCUUCACAUCAAUGGCCUGGAACUCAUGGCCAGGUCGUUCGCCUUAAAAAGUCUCCUCGGAGUCACGACCAACUGCUCCAUCAUACUACGAAUGGACAAUAUCUCUGCAGUCCGCUACAUCAAUCGCCUGGGCGGCACGAGAUCCAAGAUACUGACGGAACUAACAAAGGAGUUUUGGCAAUACUCUCUGGAUCGCAAUAUAUCAGUACAAGCAGAAUACAUUUCAGGUUUGUCCAAUACAGUAGCGGAUUGGAAUUCCAGACAUCUGAAGACACCAGCAAUUGGUGGCUGGACCGUGAAUGUUUUCUACAACUACAAACUCUCUGGGGUCCGAUGCAUAUCGACCUCUUCGUAUCUUGAUUUAAGUCCCAACUCCUGGUGUUCUGGACCCAGACGCCCUAGCAUUGGAUGCCUUCCUCCAACCAUAACUGAACAGACGGUUUUAUGCAUUUUCUCCCUACUGGCUCGAACAUUAUUACACCUUAGACGUUUUCGGACAUCUUUGGUUGUUAUAGCCCCAUUCUGGACUGCACAACCUUGGUUCCCUUCACUCAUGGAGAUGUUCAUAGAUCUUUCCAGACUACUUCCUGGAUCCACGGACCUGUUACUGGAUCCCGACAGGAACCCGCAUCCCACAACAGUCUGGACUGUUUUACGAGUGGGUUAUUAGUUUGUCUCAUGACUUGGUUACCUGCUAUAUGCUUAACUUAAACAUGAAUUAUAUUAUUCAGUUUAGUCACCACUAUUGUAACAUAGGUGAUAUUCUAUUGGAGCAUAUUUUACCAUUUGUUCUCACUGUUCAUUACAGCUUAAAACUUUACGAUGGCUCUCAUCAGGACCGAUUUCUUUCACAGGUACAACAGAUGUGUUCACAAGGAUUCGUUCCCACGGAAGAUGUCGCCUCACAGACAACGACUGUUCGACUGCCUGGGUGGAUUCACUUAUUUUGUUUUAGUUCUUUUUUGUUAAUUAUUGGCUUAGGCUUCACCAAGAAAGAGGAGUGGCUUAGGGGCACAUGGGAGUAUAUGGAAUGUGGACUGCUCUCAUUGGCUAAGAUGUUAUGGUUAACCCUCUGAGGGUAUUCCUUUUGUUUUUUUCUAUGAAUAUGUUAAUAUCCUUUCUUUGCUGCUGAGGAAUAAAGAAAGAGAUAAAGCAUAAUAUUUGCCUACGUGUCCUUAAUAAAAUCAUGACUUUACAUCAUAUAAAUAGUAAAAUCUGGUAAUUAUAUGUGACUAGUAUAUGCAUGUGCUUCUAUGUGACAGAGAGUAUGCGUGUGCUGUUACUAUCAUGACUGUGUGAUUAUGUUUCUGUGUAUGUGAUUGCGCACGACCAUGUUUGUAUGUAUGUAUGCAAUGCAUGUCACUGUGUAUGUUUGUGUGGGCACAAAAAAGGGUAAGACGUAAGAAGGUUUAGAAGAUGCACGAGAAGUUAGGUCAAUUAAGAAACACUCGAGGGUGAAAGGGAAUUAACCCCUUAAGGACACAACUUCUGGAAUAAAAGGGAAUCAUGACGGAAUAUUUCCGUCAUGUGUCCUUAAGGGGUUAAGAGAACACAGAUUAAAGGAGGGAUUAGGAGAAACACACGAGAAGGGUCAGGAGAUAUCUGACAUUUUCAAAUGUGGACACUAUGGGGGCUCUAACAUGAUAUAUUUUGAGCUCUAUUGAGGUGCCACUUUUUUAAAUCAAUUUUUCCCCCCAAAGUUUGUGGAAUUUAUCAUUUUUUACAUAAACAUUGCAUUUUUGCUGCAUAUUUUUGUAUAUGUGUGCUACUGUAAUAAAAUUCACUAAAUUGUACUCGGCUACAUCUUCGAGUGCAACAAUACCCUGUAUGUAUACCUAUGCAAAGUAUAUGCAAAGAUACAGGGCCAAGAGUUACCUGUAGAUUUUAUGAAAGACAUGAAGGCUCAUAUUAUGCUACACUCUUUCUUUAUUUCUCUCAGCAGCAAAAAAAGAAAUUAUUAAAACAGUAUAAUAAGACAUAUAACAAUCACAUGCAGGGCUGGUUUAACAUAGGGGCUGAUGAAACUGCGGCUCCAGGCCAAUGCCCAUGGAAUAGGACCUUGUUUAAAAAAAAAAAAGAUAUUGCACUUUUUUUUUUACUACUUUUCACAUGCUCUUGCUUAAGUAUGGAAACUUAAGAGGGAUGUAGGGGAACACAACUUGUGUGGACUGGCUCACAAUUAAAUUAGUUAACGUAAAGCUGACUUUGCGCACUACGCAAAUGCUCUUGUUGCUUCUAACACUGUGACAUGUUCCAUUUCUUCUACACUCACUAUAUUCACCUUUCCUCUUUCCCAGACUGUAUAACAGCAGCUUCUGCCUGCUAGUAAGAAGGUAAGGAGGGGAGUAGACAAGUGAGUGGUAGGGGACAGUCCUUAGAAAGCGUGGAGCGAGCGCAUCAUUAGACGCAUCGAUGCCAAGCUCAGGGUGCCGUCUGCACAGUAUGCCCUUUGUUGGCCAGUCUGCAUAAUUGGCAGGCAGCCUGUCAUGCAUUUACACCAGGCUGACUUUCUAAUUCUUCAGGCAGAUAUGCCCCUUUUUUGUCCUGGUUACGGGAUUGACAUCAGUGGCCCACCCUUUUACCCUGCCCACUGACAUUCUGCUUCACCUGACCUGCUGUUAGGGGUUAUGGAUUUACUUGAAAGAUGAAAGUGAGAGAUUAGCAUAGGGUAUAUGUUGUUGUUUUUUUAAAUAAAGUUUUUAUUGAUCGUAAAGUAAAGCAUCAGAUGCAACAUUCGUGGACAUGCAGGUCCAAAUCAGCACCAUUCAUUGGUCGCGCUGGUCGCCAUAAUAAACUUGUCAGGACGCGCAGGUCCAUUGUGAUCUAUUAAAGUAUUUCUAAUGUAAUGUAACACUGUUUAAUACAAUUCCAUCCACUCAUGUUUCAAGAGCACUGGGAAGAGAUUAGCUUAGAUAACUCGAGAGCACCUCCCUCCAUCCCCCCAGUCUGUCUGGGCCAGAGAGGAGCAUUUCUCCAUAACCCCCUUGGACACGCCUUAAGGAGGUCCAAGAAUCGGGCUACAGUCGUCUUCAAUACCAUCUCAAACAAGGUUUGGUAUAUGUUUUCUUAUAACUGCAUCCUGUGAGUUUCCCUCCAGCACCACCUCCACCAGAUACUUGACGCUUGGGAGGUAUAACUGUUUUAGUGUUUUCUGUCGAUAAUAUUCUGUAAUUAGGCCCACGAUAAUUGUCAGCACCAGGCCCAAUGGGCUCUUAAUCUGGCUCUGAUCACAUGUCAUAGUAACAAGGUCAGCCAAUCAGUAACUCUUCUGUGGUAUAACGGGCAGAGCCAAACCAACUACUUCCUCUUUCUUUGCUGCUCCCUCAAGUAGAACCUGGGUCCCAUGGUUCUUAAAUUGUGGGAUCUAUUUUUAUAUAUUUGGUUUAUAUUCCCAAAUUCCAACUCCCUCCUCAAUCCUCUUCAAUCUGGCUUCCGCCCCCUCCAUUCUACUGAGACUGCUCUUAUUAAAGUUAUAAAUGACCUAAUCACAGCUACAGUUGCAAGAAAAAAAGUAUGUGAACCCUUUGGAAUGAUAUGGAUUUCUGCACAAAUUGGUCAUAAAAUGUGAUCUGAUCAUCAUCUAAGUCACAACAAUAGACAAUACAGUCUGCUUAAACUAAUAACACACAAAAGAAUGAAAUGUUGCCAUGUUUUUAUUGAACACACCAUGUAAACAUUCACAGUGCAGGUGGAAAAAGUAUGUGAACCCUUGGAUUUAAUAACUGGUUGAACCUCCUUUGGCAGCAAUAACUUCAACCAAACGUUUCCUGUAGUUGCAGAUCAGACGUGCACAACGGUCAGGAGUAAUUCUUGACCAUUCCUCUUUACAGAACUGUUUCAGUUCAGCAAUAUUCUUAGGAUGUCUGGUGUGAAUCGCUUUCUUGAGGUCAUGCCACAGCAUCUCAAUCAGGUUGAGGUCAGGACUCUGACUGGGCCACUUCAGAAGGCGUAUUUUCUUCUGUUUAAGCCAUUCUGUUGUUGAUUUACUUCUAUGCUUUGGGUCAUUGUCCUGUUGCAACACCCAUCUUCUGUUGAGCUUCAGCUGGUAGACAGAUGGCCUUAAGUUCUCCUGCAAAAUGUCUUUAUAAACUUGGGAAAUCAUUUUUCCUUCGAUGAUAGCAAUUCCUCCAGGCCCUGACGCAGCAAAGCAGCCAAACCAUGAUGCCCCCACCACCAUACUUCACAGUUGGGAUGAGGUUUUGAUGUUGGUGUGCUGUGCCUUUUUUUCGCCACACAUAGUUUUGUGUGUUUCUUCCAAACAACUCAACUUUGGUUUCAUCUGUCCUCAGAGUAUUUUGCCAGUACUGCUGUGGAACAUCCAUAUCGCCAGUAUCCACCCCUUUCUCACGCAAGAUGCUGCCAAGGAGCUUGUUCAUGCUCUGGUAAUCUCUUGCAUGGAUUACUGUAAUUCUCUCCUAGUUGGUCUCCCCAGAAGCCAAACAGCAGCGCUAUAAGCUACAAAGAAUGUUGCCGCCAGGCUGAUUGUCCCUCCCAUACCUCACCCCUCUGUCGAUCCUUACAGUGACUUCCUGUAUCCGAUAGGUGUCCAUUCAAAAUAAUAACCCUUACCUAUAAAGCUCUAAACAACUCUAGCCCCUGUUACAUUGAUUCAUAGCUGUGCGCCUUCUCAGUCUCUCCGCUCUGGCAGUGACCUUCUCCUGUUCGCUGCUCGCAUUCUUACUGCUAAUUUGCGCUUGCAGAGCUUCUUGCAGGCUGCUCCCUUCCUUUGGUACAGCCUGACUAACCCCUUCAGACUCUGCCCCAGUCUACAAUUGUUUAAGAAGUCCCUCAAAACACAUCUGUUCAGAAAUGCUUAUGGUCUCUCAGAGUAACUUAUCUAUACUUAUCCAUAUUUGUCUCUUGCUCUCAUCUCCAGUUCUGCUACUUUUCCACCUUGUUUGGUGGCUGUCACCCUUGCUGCCCUGUUGUGUAUUUGUACCCCACCUCCUCUAGACUGUAAACUCAUUUGAACAGGGCCCUCAUCUACCUAUUGUUCCUGUGUAGUGAUGUCCCGAACGGUUCGGCGAACGGUUUGCCGAAUGGUUUGCCGCGGACGGUUCGCCACGGACUCAUCAUUGAGUAAACUUUGACCUUGUACCUCACAGUCAGCAGACACAUUCCAGCCAAUCAGCAGCAGACCCUCCCACCUCCUGGACAGCUCACUAACAAUGCAGCUUCACAAUGAAUGUAAAAUGGAUGCUGUCCAGGAUGUGGGAGGGUCUGGGAGGGAGGGUCUGCUGCUGAUUGGCUGGAAUGUGUCUGCUGACUGUGAGGUACAGGGUCAAAGUUUACUCAAUGAUGAGUCCGUGGCGAACCGUUCGCGAACCGUUCUGGACAUCACUAUUCCUGUGUAAUUGUCUCAUUUAUUGUAAAUCCCACCCUCUUUUAUAAUAUUGUAAAGUGCUGCGGAAUUAGUUGUCACUAUAUAAAUACCAAUAAUAAUAUCUUGGAUAUAAUUAUAUUACUGUGAUAUCUAGUGUUAUCUAUUAUUAAUAUUGAUUUUGUUUAGUUUAUCUACCCUUAUUUGGUGUAUUUGUGCCUGUUUACCCAUUGUUACUGCUAGUGUUCUAGGGGCAGUCCCAGGGUCUAUCUGAAGUUGGGGCUCCUUGUUGCUCUGUUUAUUUUCUUUUCCUUUGCACUGUCAGGCCUUCCUGACCGGUAUUAAGCAGUUUUCCCACACCUUCCCCACUCCCUCCCUCCAUUUAAGAGGUUUGUUCAAUUUGUUUGUUUGGAGCGCACUCAUUUACGCACAGCUCCUUGCCGUCCAUUCGCCAUACGAAUGUGCACGACUAGCACAUUCGCCUCUACUGCUCAUGUGUAUCUUUAUGAAUGCGCUAUGUUCGGUAGAAAAAAUGGCCCAAACGAUUUUUGCAUGACACAAAUGAUUUUUUCCACCAAACGCAUGUUUGUUGCUUUACUGUGGAGCGGUCCAUUUUUGGCUGGCCCUUCCACAGACUGCACUUCACUCUCUGUGAGUGUUUAGUUGUACUGGCAUUCAGACUGCUCCUUGUCUUUGCUACUCUGUGAGUUUUUUCCAAAUCCUUUAAUUUUAUUCCAUUUAUCCCCUUUGCUUUUAUUGCUCUUUGUGGGUUAUUCAGCCCUGGGAAGUGUUUAGAUUGAUCAUUUACACUUUAGUAAAAUUUGUGGCCUGUGUUUUACUGUAACGUGCAAUGCAGCCUAAUAGGGACCUUCCUACUCCUACUGGAUCACAGGCUGCCCUUAGAUUCCUGAGGGCUUCUCCCCUAUGGCCUCUGCAGAUGAGGCAGAUUACACUAUCUCAGAAAAGAUGCAAUCUAUUUUGGACACUUCUAUGCCCAUGUUAUGUCAAUGUCUUUAUCCAAGACGUUUUCACAGGGUUUAUUGCAAGCCCAAAUGUCGGUUCCUCCGACCUCUCAGAUGUUCGCGAUACCCCCUGCCUCUCAGCCUAAGAUGGGCAGUUUUACACUUGUUACAGAUGGCGUGCAAGUGAAUCUACUGCACAAAAGAACCACUGGCUCGGCAAAAUCAGCCAGGUAAUGGAAACAGGCUAAAGCCCAACCUGAUUCAACUGAUGAGGAGGAGUAUGAUCAGGAGUCUGUUCUGGUCCCGUUUGAUGACCUGUCUGAUUAUGCAGUAGGUGAAGUUGAAGUCCCCUCUCUAUUUCUGCCGCUGAUGGGGUUUCAGGCACUGAGAUGAGUCGCCCCUUUGUCAGCUGAGGCAGGAGAAAUUAUCCUGAUGACUUACGUCAUCCAAGGUUGGCUGAAUGGUCACCUUCUGAACAUGUGACACGUUAUAUUGGAAGACUUCAGAGCUGAAAAGUUGGGGUUUUCAUUUCUCCUGCUCUUGGUCAGUAUACCUUUUUAAUGGGUUUUUGCAUUUAGCACUUUAUUAUUAUGGUGAUAUUGGUAUUAUAAAUUGGGUAUUCACUUUCUUUCUGUCAUAAUUAGUUGAUGUAUUUUUUCAAUGCAUGAAUAAACAUUGUUUAUGUGCAUACUUUGGUGUGCCUUGGGAUCAUUACUAUUUCUAUUGUACAUACAAAUCCGGUGUGGGGACGGAUUUUUUUCCUUAAAGAGCACCCAGUACCUUUUCUACCACAUUACUUCUCACCCAUUUCCACUUGAGCAUUUCUUAUAAUUAUGUAUUUGAUCCUUGGCGGACAUCAUCAGAAGUAGUGUUAUGAGCCAAUCACAAUGAUUUCCAUAGGAAAGCAUUAGACUGGUUGAGAGUGUCAAGGAGGCAGAUCAGGGACAGAGCCAGCACAAGCCAAACACUGCUCUGGCCAGUCAGCAUCUCCUCAUCGAGAUGCAUUGAAUCAGUGCAUCUCUAUGAGGAAAGUUCAGUGUCUCCAUACAGAGGGUGGAGACACUGAAAGUCAGUGCUGUACACUGUGCAGCACUGCCCCAGAAAGCACCUCUAGUAGCCAUAUGAAGAGUUGCAACUAGAGUUGUCCCUAAGCUGUAAUGUAAACACUGCAUUUUCUCUGAAAAAAACUGUGUGUACUGCAAAAAAGCCUGAAUGGGUUAUACUUACCAGAACAAAUACAAUAAGCUGUAGUUGUUCAGGUAACUAUAGUGUCCCUUUAAAAUCCCCAUGCAACUGUCAUCACUUACAGUGAUCACUGCUAAGCAACAUGCAUAGCCCAGUGCUGAUCACCCUCUGCUGCCAGUGAGUCAGGAUUGUAGCUGAACCUGGAAGUUCAGCCACUGUAAAUUAAUGGGCUGUAUGUAGCGUUUACAUUUAGCGCUGCACACUGCAUGAUGGCACUAAUUCUCAUCCCAGCUAACAGAAGUGCUCUCCAGUUACCAUCAGGGAAACAGUUCCUGCUGGUAAAAUGGUACAUGAUGGAAUAAGUACAUUAUGUGUCAUUAAGUCCUUACGUUAAUAGAAAAAUGUGUUGUCCAUUGAAUAUUAAAUUAUUAGCAAGGAAGCACCAUUAUAACAAUGUGUAAUUAUUAGACUUUACUAUUUUACAGAUGUUUAUGGUAGUUUCUGGUUAAAUCUGUGUGAUACAUAUCCUGAACAAUAAGAUUUCCCUACUCAGCUUCACAAAAUCAUUACUGAAUUAUUCACAAGGGAUAAACUAUUGAACUCUAUUGAACUGAACUGCCUAUUAAUAAUUGUAUUUAAUUGUUAAAUUGGACCAGCUUUCCCUUCACCAGUAGAAACCAGUUCCUCUACGGCAGGUCCAGGACUAUCAUUGGCGGCAUCUCUGUCACUGGAUAGAGGUUGAUCUUCCACAAAUUGCUUGGAAAGGUGGCUAUGGAAAGGUAUGUGACACAUGAAAUGCUCACUCAAGUAAUGUAUUGAGAUUGUUUUUUGAAUUCCAUUUCCAGAAAUAGAAAUAAGUGUCUUGUGUAAUUCAUACUGUAUUGUGUAAUGUACUGCUUAAUACAUGGUUAUAGGAGAGUUGUUGGCUUAUAGUCCAAAGUGAACCUGUGAUUUAUGUGUGAUUAUGGUCACUUGCAGCGUUAUGCACUAACAUGAGAAACCAAAGUAAAUUCAAUCUGAAUUUAAAAUUUAAAGGGACACUGUAGGCACCGGGACCACUUCUGCCCAUUGAAGUGGUCUGGGUGCCAACUCCCACUACUCUUAACCCUGCAAGUGUAAUUAUUGCAGUUUUUUAUAAACUGCAAUAAUUACCUUGCAGGGUUAACUCCACCUCUAGUGGCUGCCUACUAGACAGCCACUAGAGGGCACUUCCGUGUGCAUAGCACAGGAAACCUGUGCUAGAGCGUCGCUGGACGUCCUCACGCUGUGUGAGGACCUCCAGCGUCGCUCAAUUCCCCAUAGGAAAGCAUUGAAAAGCAUUUUCAAUGCUUUCCUAUGGAGAGCUCUAAUGCGCAUGCGCAGCAUUGCUGCGCAUGCGCAUUAGGUCUCUUCAGCUUCAGACGGGAUCAGUCUCGCCCACUGGCUGACGUAAUCACCAGGAGGAGCGGCGGCGAGCAAAAAUCACCGCAGAGGGACAUCGGCGGGGUCUCAGGUAAGUGACCUGAAGGGGUUUUCAACCCUUCAGCUACCGGGGGAUGGGUGGUGGGAGGGAGAGGGGACCUGCAGUGCCAGGAAAACGGAUUGUUUUCCUGGCACUGGAGUUUCCCUUUAAGUAAAAAAUAGCUGAAUUGAAAGUAUAGCUGACUAGGAGAUUUUUUCCAGUUCAGAUAUUUUGGACAUAAAUUUGAAAUUCACUUUGUCUUCCUGACAAUUUUCACUUUAGUGAAUAAAGUGCUUUCCACUAUAUCAUUAAAUUCACUUUGCUCCCCUGUGAGAUUGAUCUUUACGUGAAUGUAUUUAUGUAAAAGUUUAAGGGCAGUACAUUAGUGUAAAUUUACUAAAGAGUUGACAUUAACAAUGCUAAAUUUAGACUAAAAUAGAAUAGAUGACAAGCAGCUCAGCUGUUUUGGCCUAAAUAAUAUUAUAUACUCAACUCAAUUUACUGUGUAGUCAAUAAACAAAAUAUUUCAUAUUACUGGCAUUUUCACAUGGCAUUCAGGCUUUAUAACUGACCCUAUUUUAGGAUCCGGUCCCACCAUCUUGGAGCACAGAGUGAGCGCAUCGUUAGAAAGCACAAGGCUAGAAAGAUGAAGAGUGCAUCGGAGUUCCAGCAAUAGCCAGUUUAGCUCUUUUAACAUGUCACAAUCAGAGCUGGUGCAAGGAUUUUUUCCGUCCUAGGCAAAAGAAAAAUUUGCCGCCCCCUCCCUCCCCAUGUGACAUCACAAUGCCCCACCCAUAUGAUCUGCCAUAUCAACUAACGCCAGUACUGCACAGAGUGUGUGUUUACAUUAAAAAGCCUGCAGGGACAGGCUCUAGACACCGGAACCACUUCAUUAAGCUGCAGUGGUUCUGGGGACUAUAGUGUCCCUUUAAUGUGAGGUAAAUUAGAGAUUAGUGCCACUAAUAAUAUACUAGAUUUCCUAUUUACAACCAGAUGAGGAUGGUGAUGGGUUCUGGCUGCAGUUUGGCUCCACUAAUCUGGUGUAGAACAGGAUCUCUGGAGGCUAUUUGUAACUGUGGUCACAAAAUUCAAUGUUCUGGGAGAACAGGAAGCAGCUCCAUUUUUUAGUGCCCCUUACACAGCUCAAGGUCUGGGCCCCAGGGCCUGACGGUGAGUAUGCCCAUAAGGCACACCCAUGAGUCCACCUAUAUGUUCCACCCAUGAGUUCGCUCACAGGUAGUGGAGUGUGUAGGGGAUGUGUUAUGUGUUAUUGUAGAGGAUCUAAUGUGUGUACUUAUGGAAUAUGGUGUAUAGGGAUACCAGUUUGUGUAGGUGAUGCAGUGUGUUUGUGUAUAAGGGAUUUAUUGUGUGUUUCUGGUUGUGUGUUAGGGAUGCAUUAUGUGAAUCUGUUUUUUUAUGCAUAAGGGAUGCAAGGUGCGUGUCUGUAAGUGUGUGCAUUGAGUGUGUACAAGAAAUGCAUUGUGUUUCUGUGUGUGUGUUUGCAUGUGUGUGUAAGGGAUGCAUUGUGUCUUUCUGUGUAUGUGUGCAAAGGAUGCAUUGUCUUUGUGUGUAAGGGUUGCAAUGUGUGUGUGUGUGUGUGUGUGUGUGUGUGUAAGGGAAGCAUGUUGUGUUUCUGUGUGUGUAGGGAUGCAUUGUGUGUUUCUGUGUAUGUAUAGGGAUGCAUUGUGUGUGUGUGCGCUUAGUGUGAAAGAGCUACCUGCUCUUCCUUUUGUCCCUUAGAGCUCUACCCUGCCCUUAGUGGUCUCUUCUCACACCCACCCACCCUCCAUGUGUUCUUCUCACACCGCCCUCCCUUCCUGUGUUCUCCUCACCUCCCCUUCUCCUCACCCCCUCUCCCGUGUUCUUCUCACCCUCCCUGUGUUCUUCUCACUCCCCCCUCCCUGUGUUCUUCUCUCCUCCCCUUCUCCUCACCCCCUCUCCCUGUGUUCUUCUCACUCCCCCUGCUCUUCUACCCCUCCCCCUGUGUUCUCCCUCAUCUCCUUCUCCCUCACCCUCCCUCCCUGUCUCUGUCUCCCCCUGUCUUCUUCUCUUUUACUCCCUCCUGUCUUUCUUACCUCUCCCUCUUUCUUCUUACUCCCUCCCUCUUUCUUUUUACUUCCCCUGUUUUCUUUCUACUCCCUCCCCUCUUUCUCUUCUUACUCUCCUCCCCUUUUCUACCCUCCUCCUGCUUCUUACUCCCUCCUCUCCUUCUUUCUUCUUACUCCCCUCCCUUUUCUUUCUUACUCCUCCCUCAUAUUUCUUUCUUACUCCCUCCCUCUUUCUUUUCUUUUCCCCUGUUUUCUUUCUUACCCUCCCUCUUUCUCUUUUUCUUACCUCCUCCCUCUUUCUACCCUCCCUGUUUUCUUUCUUACUCUCCCUCUCCUUCUUUCUUAUUCCCUUCCCUCUUCUUCUUACUCCCUCCUCCCUUCUUCUUACCUCCCUCCUCUUCUUACUUCCCAGUUUUCUGUACUCCCUGCCCUCUUCUUUCUUUAAUCCUGUUUUCUUCUUUACCUCUCCUUCCUUUUCUUUCUUACUCUCUUCUUCUAUACCCCUCCCUCUCUUUCUUUUACUUCCUGCUUCUUCUUACUCCCUCUCCCUGUUUUUUCUUACCCUCUCUGUUUUACUCUCCUCUCUUGUUGCCCCUCCCUCUUUCUUUCUUGCCCCCCUCCUCUAGUUCUUCUUACGCCCCCUCCCCCCUGUGUUACAGGGAAGGGGAGGUGAGGAGAGAGGCAGUGCGGCAGCCGCCUGAGAGCUCUCUAUAGAGUUCUCAGGCGGCUGCAGAAUUUAAAGGGCCGGUAAUGGAGGGGCAGGGCGCACCCUCCUAUAUGGCGCCCUAGGUGGCUGCCUAGUUCGCCUUAUAGGAUGCGCCGGCUCUGGUCACAAUGGUUUAUCAUAUCUGGCCACAGAAUGGAAUGGCUAACACCCAGGACUUGGCGUCUGGGAUUAUCGAGUUAUGGCACUGAGUUGAUGCACUCAUGCUGUAUUUAAUUUUGUGCAAAGUCCUAAACUCCAAGUUGCUAGUAAUUCUGAAAUAAAAAAAUAAAAUAAAAAAUGGGCAACAAGCACAACAUUCUUUCAAAUGUGCACAUUUUGAGGGUAAUCUCCAAAUUCGUCUCCAACUUACUUUCUAUUAAACGUCCUUAUGUCAGGUUUGGGUCACAUUCUGAGAUAUUAAUGGAAUUUUGAUUUUCAUGAGUGUGUUCAGACCUUAGUAGGUUUUGGUGUUCUUAAAUAUUGGCCUUCACAUUCCCUGUUCUAUAUUUUGCCAUAAAAGCAAAAACACAAUGGCAGGCUUGUUUUAUCAGUUGGUUCCUUUUGUUUCAUUUUAAUAGCGCAACACUAUUGGAAAUUCUUAUUUUAGUGUAUGUAAAAAUAGAGACAAAAUCUAUUAUUAAGCCUUCUUUUAGCUGUUUGUGUAAGUGUCUGUGUUGUGGUACGGUUCCCAAUGUCGUUUACUUCCACUCAGAGCCAUUUAUGCCUUGUAUUAGAAAAUCUGCAUGAAGAUCUCAAGGCCUCUUUGAACAAAAUUAUGUGAAUGGGACGAGGUACUACAAUGUAAGACUAAAUGAGGGGGUUUAAAAAGAGGGAGGAGAAGAGGAGGAAGAAAUAUUGGUCCGAGCAUAGAGAAGGUUUAAAGUGACACUAUAGUCAUUAGAACAAAUACAGCUUAUUGUAUUUGUUCUGGUGAGUAGUAUCAUUCCCUUGAGGCUUUUUGCAGUAAAUACUGUAUUUUCAGAGAAAAUGCAGUGUUUAAAUUUUAGCCAAGGGAUAACUCGGCUGACAACUCCUCAGAUGGCUGCCAGAGGUGCUUCCUGGGUCAGUGUUGUACAGUGUGACUGCCAUUCAGUGUCUCCACCUUCUGCAUGGAGACACUGAACUUUCAAUGUAUCUUUAUGAGGAUAUGUUGAUUUGCCCGGGCUGUGCUGGCUCUGCCCCUGAUCUGCCUCCUUGAAAGUCUCAGCCAAUCCUAUGGGAAAGCAUUGUGAUUGGCUCAGUGAAUCACUUCUUAUGAUGUCAGCCAAGCAGGCAAAUCAGGGGCAACAGCUGAACACUUGAAUAAAGGUAAGAUUUUUAUAUAUUUAGGGGGGCAAAAGGUGGCUGGGCAGGGGGAUAGAUAAUGCUAGAUGGUAUGUUUAACACUAUAGGAUCAGGAAUACAUAUUUGUGUUCCUGACCCUAUAGUGUUCCUUUAACAGUAAAGAAAUAUGACAAUGGUCUUAACAAAGCGCAUGUGAAAGAUAGGGUUUUGGAAGAAAUUGGUUGGCAUAGGAAGGUGACAAAUGUUCUGUAUUUCAGAUUUAUGGUGACUAUAACAUCCAGCUUUCACAUUUACUCGUAAAAUAUCAUUUAGGCUUAUCAAUUGGAUGGACAAAUGCCCUGACUGAUAAUAAAUAUAAAAAAAAAUAUUGUUAUUAAAAGAACAGGAGUGCAAUAAUCUUGGGAGGGACUGAAACACUCGAAACACCAAGACAACUACAACUCGCUUUAGAGGUUAUGGUGCCAAGAGUGCCCUGAAGCCCCACCUUUGUAAGGACUCAAACUUUUUUUAACAGGUUGGCUUCUUACCUGAGGUUUGCCAGGCCCAGCUCCCUGUCACCACUACCAACGUUGGACAGCUGGACGUUCCUAAGCAGGAAGUUCAAAUGGCUGUCCCUGAGCUAAGCCCUGCAAUGCAUGUUCACUGGCUGAGAUUAAUUGGCUGAUGUUCUCAGGCAAUGAAAAGCAUAGCACUUUCAGCUCCUCUUUGCUGGUAGUGGAAAGGGGAGCUGUGCCCAAGGGACCACAGGUAAUAAUUCAAACCAUUCAAAAAAAUAGGUUGACUGCCUACAAUAAGUGGUCCCCAGGGCACUCCUGGCACCAUAACAACUGUAUCGAGCAGGUGCAGUUAUUGUGCUUGAGGUUGAAAAGUGAUAGUUCUUAAAAAAAAAUAAUGUCUUAAAGGACCACUAUAGUGUCAGGAAAACAUACUAGUUUUCCUGGCACUAUAGUGCCCUGAAGGUUCCCCCACCCUCAGGGUCCCCCUCCCGCCGGGCUCUGGGGAGAGGAAGGGGUUAAACUCUUCUCCUCCUCCUCUUCGGCUGAAUGCACAGCCAGUCCAUAGGAAAGCAUUCACAAUGCUUUCCUAUGGACGUUGGCGUCUUCUCACUGUGAAAAUCACAGUGAGAAGCACGCAAGCGCCUCUAGCGGCUGUCAAGAGAGCCACUGGAGGCUUGAUUAACCGUAUUAUAAACAUAGCAGUUUCUCUGAUGGACCUGGAACCCAGACCACUUCAUUCAGCUCAAGUGGUCUGGGUGCCUAUAGUGGUCCUUUAAACAGCUGCCCACCAACAUGCUUAUAAUAGCAUUGUUUUGUAGGCACAGGUGCAUUGCAUAGAUAAACAAUGUAGUGCGAUCCUUGUUUGCAGAUAGCACGGCCCUCUAGGGUAAACAACAGGCACAGUCCCUUUUAUUUUCAUAUAAUCCAGGCACUUUAUUUGUAAGUCCACACAGGAGACAGCAGCAAAUGAAAACAUAAAUAUAACUCAAAUCCCUAUAAACAAAAACCUAGCUCGUCUGAGCACUUACUAACAUCAGGUUCCCUAUCUCUCAGGGGUUAAACUAGAACAAAACAAUAUUGGUUUCACCAACCUAGUUUCUUUGUCAGCGCUCUGCACUCCAGUGCUUAGUCAGCCUGUUGCUUUCCUUUCUACACUCCCAGUGCUCCAAGCCCCAAGCCAGCCUUAACUGCUUUCCUUUCUGCACUCCCAGUGCUCCAAGCCAGCCUUGACUGCUUUCCUUUUGCACUCCCAGUGCUAAGUCUCCUUGACUCUCUUACUGGAGAGAACAGCCUCUCUCCUACCUGCUUCCAGGGAGGAACCCAGCUAUCCCCCUUUACCUGCCUAGCAGGGAGGGGUUUAUUCCUACUGCUACAGCAGAUUAUCUGCAGCUGAGCAGUGGGUUGGAGACAGUUCCAAAGAACUCUGGCCUGGACCUUAUUUCUCCCAGUUGUGUAUAAACUGAGGAGUGGAGCAUUGGCCCACCCUGCUCUCCAAAUGCUCCACCCGAGGGGCCCAUAACUAAAUGUAGCUUUGUGUUGCACACCACACAUACAACACAUACUUCCCCAGGGGUUAAAUGUUAAAGGCCCCUCUGCCUUCACUUUAUCACAGUAGAAUAAAACAAUAACAAUCACAAUGGCUGCUAGUUCAUUAUUUUCUAUGGCCUGAAUUCUUUUUCUCUUUCCAUAUGUUUUUAUUUAAUUUUACACAUUAAAAUAAUUGUACAUAUCGAUAGUAACAAGUAGUACAAUAAGUGUAGAAUGUAACAAUUACAAUAAUAAUAAUAAAAUUAAAAUUAAAAACAAAAACUAACAAAGAAAAAAAGAGGGGUAUAAUAAUAGUUUACAUCCAUGUGGUUACUAAUCUAUAUUAAAAAAAAAAGCGGGGGGGAGUACAAGUAUGUCAUAUAUGUUUUGUAUAAUUAUGUUUUUAAAUUAUAUUAUACAUGGUAAUUAUAAGAAAAGAAAAUAUUUUGUUUUGUCAGGUGGGAACCAUGGUCAAAGUUUGUACACAUACAUACUGACAUAUACACACACACACACAUAUACAUACAUACUGACUGACAUACAUACAUACACGGACAGACAGACAGACACACACUGCUCAUUUUUCAGCCACCCUCCUGUUCCUUAUAUUUUUGUUGCAGUAGAGUAGCUGGGGAUAAUGGGAGUCGGCAAACUCCUCCAGUCUGCUUCCUCCUUCUUGCGCGGAGUAAGCUGGGAGGAAGUGACAGACCAUCACUUCCUCCCAGCGCAACUUGCGGCUGCCAUUUUUAAAGGGGCCCGGUCAGGCUAUUAUACGGCUGGAGCACAGUCCCGGUCCCUGAAGAUAUAGGGCCCUGUCCCCCAAGAAACCCAUUUUAAGACCAAUAAUUUUUCUAAUUUUCUAUUGAAGGAUUACCCCACUCAGUUCCACUCUAAAUUUCAUACCAAAUCAAGGGGUGUAUCAAUUUUUUUUCACAAAAGCGUACCCUGUCACACUGAAGAAGUUUCUGUGGACAAUAAAGGUAGGUUUAUAAAUUGGAGAGGUACGCUAACUAGUGUGGAAUAUACUUUGGCAAACGUUUACUUCCCUUACUCUGGACAACUUCAGUUUUCGAAAACAAUUGUUAGUUUUCUAAAGAUGCUAAGGGCAGACUGAUUAUAGGAGGAGAUACCAAUUUUUUUCUAGACUGUGAAAAGGACAUUGUCAGAAAAACUUAAUGCAUUGUUAAAUAUUACAAUAGUGAAAGAUUGGCUAAUCGGUGCUCCAAAUUUCUUUUUUCACAAGGAUUAUUCGAUUGUUGGCGCAUAUUACAUGAAGGAGAGAAAGACUAUACCUAUCACUCGACCAUGUAUAAUAUGUACUCUCGGAUUGACAGGUUCUUGGCAGGUGAGAGCACAAUUCUGUGCAUUAUAAGGUCUGAUAUUUUGGACACUAACUGGUCUGAUCACGCCCCCAUAGUGUUAUAUUUAGAGUAGUCCUUCCAGUCAAAUCCAUGCAGGCCAUGGAUCUCAGUGACCAUUUAGUCACAGAGCUUGAAAAUAAGACACUUGCUGGAAAAGAGCUUGUUAACUAUUUCAGGAAAAUUCAAAUCCAAAUUUACUUGUUACUUCAUUAUGGAAUGCUCAUAAAGCUGUCUUGCGAGGACGCUUUAUACAAAGGGCUUCAUAUUUGAAGAAAAUUAGAUCGAAAAAUUUAAGAGAAUUGGUAAAAGAAUUGUAUACGGUAACUUAAAUCUGGAAAACAAAUAAGGCCUGAAUUUUCACCCAGAUUUGAGUAAAAUAUCUGAAUUAGAUAAAAAAAAAUAAUAAUAAUUCUGCAGUUUAAAAAAACAGGUUAGGUACAAAUUAGGCUUAUUGGAAUGGCUAUUUACUACCUAGAAUAAAUUUUUACUACAGAAUGAGUUAUUGUAAUGUGAUUUCUCCAGUCGGCUAAAUUAGGACUUUCUGAUAUAAGAAAACAUGCUAAUUUUAUGUAACUGAUAAGUUAAUACAUUCUUGUUUAUUAGAUGUUUUGCUGUUGAGAUGUAAUGUGGACUGCACUUUCUCUGUAGAUUUGACAUGUGCAUUGGUAACUACACCUUCUUUAAGCACAAUUUAGGGUUUGCUCUUGCUACUGUGUCUUUAGUUAAAUUCUUACCCUUCUACCCUUCACAUCCACCUUUUAGCAUUGUUCCUCUUUCAUUGGCUAAUUUUUACCCUCCCUGUUUUUAAAAGAGUAGGGUUUUAAAGGUACCUGCCAAGCCCAAACCACAUUUUCUGUUUUAAAAGAUUAUAAAAUGUAAUCUAUAUAUUAUGCUAACAGUUUUGCUAGCAAAUGCACAGGUUGAAAGAAAACUAUUUAAAAAUAGUAUUUACCCUCACUUGUCAAUCAAUUCUUUGGCAUAGACUCUAUGCCUUGGAAUUGAUGACAGGAAGAGCAGAAAAGUCCUCCCACAGGUGGCCCUUCUGUUGCUAGUGCUGGCUAGAGAGUUUUUUUACUGGCAUUGCAGACAGAGUGUCAGUGUCAUGGAGGAUGAAUGGGGAAGCCAUCCCAAACAGCGCAAAUCACUGAAGACCACAG